rnacentral:rRNA from 1 species
GACGAACGCUGGCGGCGUGCUUAACACAUGCAAGUCGAACGGAAAGGCCCUGCUUUUGUGGGGUGCUCGAGUGGCGAACGGGUGAGUAACACGUGAGUAACCUGCCCUUGACUUUGGGAUAACUUCAGGAAACUGGGGCUAAUACCGGAUAGGAGCUCCUGCUGCAUGGUGGGGGUUGGAAAGUUUCGGCGGUUGGGGAUGGACUCGCGGCUUAUCAGCUUGUUGGUGGGGUAGUGGCUUACCAAGGCUUUGACGGGUAGCCGGCCUGAGAGGGUGACCGGCCAAAAUGGGACUGAGGAUCGGGCCAAGAUCCUUCGGGGGGGAAGCGGUGGGGAAUAUUGCCCAAGGGGCGGAGCCCUAAUGCGGCACCGCGGCGUGGGGAAGGACGCCCUUGGGGUUGUAACCGCUUUCGCCUGUGACGAAGCGUGAGUGACGGUAAUGGGUAAAGAAGCACCGGCUAACUACGUG